AUAUCGUGUAUGUCACUGAUUGAGCACAAGUUGGACUGGAAUCCAUGAGUGACAUCCUGACCCCCGUCUUAAAAAGACGGGCCUGCAGAAGGAAUAGGAAACAACAGAAGACAAUGAGGCCGCAGUCACUGAGGAAGAGGGGGAAACUAUCUCAGAUGCCACGGCUGAGACCUUAAGGCCUACAGCGGGUUGCAGCUGUGUCUGUCACAUGGUGUUCCAACCCCGGGCAGCC